rnacentral:sRNA from 1 species
AUUAUGUUAUAAUAUUGGUUGAGCAAGUUGGAUAGAUGGUGGCUAAUCUCAUGAAAAUGGGGUGAUGCCUAUGGUUUUGGUUUCUACUCCAAGAAAGGAAUAGCAUGUCUGAUUAUGAAAUGCUGAUGAUUGUUUUAACAAUCAUUGGUUUAGUAUUAAUUAGCAAUAACCA